AGUGAACGCUGGCGGUAGGCCUAACACAUGCAAGUCGAACGGCAGCACAGUAAGAGCUUGCUCUUACGGGUGGCGAGUGGCGGACGGGUGAGGAAUACAUCGGAAUCUACUUUUUCGUGGGGGAUAACGUAGGGAAACUUACGCUAAUACCGCAUACGACCUACGGGUGAAAGCAGGGGAUCUUCGGACCUUGCGCGAUUGAAUGAGCCGAUGUCGGAUUAGCUAGUUGGCGGGGUAAAGGCCCACCAAGGCGACGAUCCGUAGCUGGUCUGAGAGGAUGAUCAGCCACACUGGAACUGAGACACGGUCCAGACUCCUACGGGAGGCAGCAGAGGGGAAUAUUGGACAAUGGGGGCAAGCCUGAUCCAGCCAUACCGCGUGGGUGAAGAAGGCCUUCGGGUUGUAAAGCCCUUUUGUUGGGAAAGAAAAGCAGCAGGUUAAUACCCCGCUGUUCUGACGGUACCCAAAGAAUAAGCACCGGCUAACUUCGUG
rnacentral:rRNA from 1 species